rnacentral:rRNA from 1 species
GUCCACGCCGUAAACGAUGGAUGCUAGCCGUUGGCGGGUUUACCCGUCAGUGGCGCAGCUAACGCUUUAAGCAUCCCGCCUGGGGAGUACGGUCGCAAGAUUAAAACUCAAAGGAAUUGACGGGGGCCCGCACAAGCGGUGGAGCAUGUGGUUCAAUUCGACGCAACGCGAAGAACCUUACCAGCCCUUGACAUCCCGGUCGCGGGAACGAGAGAUCGAUCCCUUCAGUUCGGCUGGACCGGAGACAGGUGCUGCAUGGCUGUCGU